rnacentral:sRNA from 1 species
AAGUAGAGGCCGGAAGCAGUGGUUUUUAGCGGCUCUCUGGGUAGCAGGGUGGUGUGAUAGCGGCAGCGAGGGGCUCGCAGAGGUGCUCGGAUUCUCGUAGCUGUGCCGGGACUUAACCACCACCAUGUCGAGCAAAAGAACAAAGACCAAGACCAAGAAGCGCCCUCAGCGUGCAACAUCCAAUGUGUUUGCUAUGUUUGACCAGUCACAGAUUCAGGAGUUCAAAGAGGCCUUCAACAUGAUUGAUCAGAACAGAGAUGGUUUCAUCGACAAGGAAGAUUUGCAUGAUAUGCUUGCUUCAUUGGGUAAUGCUCAGUUUAAAUAUUAAUCUAUUGGAUAGAAUUUCCAUGGUGCCUUUCAUCUUGAUUUCAUGAGUCUUAAAGCUCUGUAAAGCCUGUCUAAUGAGUCUACUAAGGUUUGAGUAAAGUGUGGAACAGUGUUUCCCACCGGAUCACCAGCAGAUUCGUGACCCUGUCUUAGGAUUGGGUUGGGGUUCGUGUGUGUGUGUGUGUGUGUGUAUAAAAACACUGAUCUUGAUUAUGGAAGCAGUAUUAUUCCUUCUGACGUUC